CCUGGGAGUCUUGCCGACACCCCUAGCCCUCCACCCCACACACAGCCCACAUGCCGGUCUCCAGGGGCCGUGGCUGGAGAUUCCGAAUCCUACCGGCCGCCUCCCCUGAGCACACUCCCAGCUGAAGGCGUCUGGCUGGGCCUGGGCGGACUCGGGGGCUGUGUUCCCUUUUCUCCGUUUGCCCGCCCAUGGCGUUGCUGCCACGCUGAUGGAGCGCCCUCUCAUCGGGCACCUGCCCGGCCUCUUUCCUGAGCCCAGCUCUGUCCAUGCAGAUGUGGGUGCUUUCUCCAUUGGGGGUCCCACCGGGAGGAGCCAAGAGUGCCCCUGGGUGAGUCAGGAAAGAACUCCUUCCUCACGUUGCUGCCAGAAAAUGACCAUAGCAGCUUCACAACCCCCCAGGAACCUAUCUCGGUAAAGAAACAGGGGCCAAGUGGUGUCCGAGGCUCAGGUGUGGCCAAGCCUCAGGUGUGGUCCUUAUGCACAGCACAGCCCAAGCCUGUGGGCACCACUCGCCCUGGGCUGCCUGGCACCUGGACUCUUUCCCAUCCUCAGCCCAGGCCUGUGUGGCCCUGUAGGGCCAAACCCAACACUGUCUUCCUCCUGGGUCCGCUCCCCGGGCCUCCUGCACCCCAGACUGCUUCAUGGCCUCUGCAGGGAGCUUCACAGAGGUGAGACUGGUGCCAUCUGUCUGCUUCAGACCACCCCAGGCCCUGCGUGCCCUCACAGUCCCCUCUGCGCCCCUCUGUGGGGUGGGGAAGCCCUUCCCAUCAGGUCAGCACCAGCCUGGCCACCUUGUUCCUGCUGCCCCCUCCCCUUCAGGCCCCCAGACCAGACUUUAGUUACUUGCUGCUGCCGGGCAGAACUGGAGGCCUUGUCUUCCACACACCUGCUAGCACCUCCGCAACCUCCAGGCAUGAUCUCAGCUGAAGUGACGCCAUCCUGGGGAAGCCCCCCCGAUCCCGGGCUCUCCUGGAAGCCUGUGAUGCUCCUUCACCACAGCCCCUGUCCCUUUGUAGGUCCCAUAAGCCAGUGGUGCAGGGAUCGGGCCUUUCUCUCCCGUGUCUGCCUCCUGCAGAACCAUGAGCAGCUUCAGGGCCGAGGCGGUGCCUUUCCAUCCGUGAAUCUCCUGAUCCAUCAGAAUACUCGAGAGAGAGUGACACCCAAGAAAUACUGACUGAGUGUAUUCAUGAAAGAAUUAAUGUUCUUACAGGAUCAUUUGUUGUUGAACUGACCUGACAUGUGUAUAGUGAUCUCAUGAACAAGAGGGAAGCUGUGCAUCCAUUCACUUCAAUUGGAUUUAGCAAUCGCAGUAGGAUAAUGAUAUUUCCACAAUGUAUAUGCUCUGUCCCUUUAAAUUUAACUUUUUGCUUUUUAGACAGAAGCUCAUCAGUCUUAGGGAGUUCUGAAGGCGGAUUUCUCAGCCGCGUUCAAGCUGACGAGUUCGCCAGUUCUUCCCCAGACAGUGCAGAGCGGCAGAAUCUUCCUGUAAACCCACCAUCUUCCCUGGAAAUAGCACAGGCCAUGGACACUAAGAUGAAAAAGGAGGAAGUACAGGAAGAAAAACGACAUCCAAACGGCAAGGCAGAUGACUGCCAGCGGUCCAGUUUCCCGAGUAAAUUUCCAGGAGCUCUGCACGCCGCUCCCUCCAGACAGGCCAUGAGGCCCCGACCUGGAGGCCAGGCGUUUCUAGCAUUGUUGACUGCCAGUUUAUUCCCAGUAAAUAAAGCAAUAGGCUUUUCAGGAGGAA
rnacentral:sRNA from 1 species